rnacentral:rRNA from 1 species
UGGGGGAUAUUGCACAAUGGGCGCAAGCCUGAUGCAGCGACGCCGCGGGGGGGAUGAAGGCCUUCGGGUUGUAAACUUCUUUUGCUCUGAACAAGGCGCACUUUGGGGUGUGUUGAGUGUAGGGGUUGAUUAGCGCCGGCUAACUACGUGCCAGCAGCCGCGGUAAUACGUAGGGCGCGAGCGUUGUCCGGAAUUAUUGGGCGUAUAGGGCUUGUAGGUGGCUGGUUGCGUCUGUCGUGAAAGCUCAUGGCUUAACUGUGGGUUUGCGGUGGGUACGGGCUGGCUUGAGUACAGUAGGGGAGGCUGGAAGUCCUGGUGUAGCGGUGGAAUGCGCAGAUAUCAGGAGGAAUACCGGUGGCGAAGGCGGGUCUCUGGGCUGUUACUGACACUGAGGAGCGAAAGCAUGGGGAGCGAACAGG